UACGUAGGGGCUAGCGUUAUCCGGAAUUACUGGGCGUAAAGGGUGCGUAGGUGGUUUCUUAAGUCAGAGGUGAAAGGCUACGGCUCAACCGUAGUAAGCCUUUGAAACUGGGAAACUUGAGUGCAGGAGAGGAGAGUGGAAUUCCUAGUGUAGCGGUGAAAUGCGUAGAUAUUAGGAGGAACACCAGUUGCGAAGGCGGCUCUCUGGACUGUAACUGACGCUGAGGCUCGAAAGCGUGGGGAGCAAACAGGAUUAGAUACCCCGGUAGUCCCUGAGCGGGCU
rnacentral:rRNA from 1 species